CCUUCGGGGGACGAUAACGGCGUCGAGCGGCGGACGGGUGAGUAAUGCCUAGGAAAUUGCCCUGAUGUGGGGGAUAACCAUUGGAAACGAUGGCUAAUACCGCAUGAUGCCUACGGGCCAAAGAGGGGGACCUUCGGGCCUCUCGCGUCAGGAUAUGCCUAGGUGGGAUUAGCUAGUUGGUGAGGUAAGGGCUCACCAAGGCGACGAUCCCUAGCUGGUCUGAGAGGAUGAUCAGCCACACUGGAACUGAGACACGGUCCAGACUCCUACGGGAGGCAGCAGUGGGGAAUAUUGCACAAUGGGCGCAAGCCUGAUGCAGCCAUGCCGCGUGUGUGAAGAAGGCCUUCGGGUUGUAAAGCACUUUCAGUCGUGAGGAGGCGGUGUAGUUAAUAGCUGCAUUAUUUGACGUUAGCGACAGAAGAAGCACCGGCUAACUCCGUGCCAGCAGCCGCGGUAAUACGGAGGGUGCGAGCGUUAAUCGGAAUUACUGGGCGUAAAGCGCAUGCAGGUGGUUUGUUAAGUCAGAUGUGAAAGCCCGGGGCUCAACCUCGGAAUUGCAUUUGAAACUGGCAGACUAGAGUACUGUAGAGGGGGGUAGAAUUUCAGGUGUAGCGGUGAAAUGCGUAGAGAUCUGAAGGAAUACCGGUGGCGAAGGCGGCCCCCUGGACAGAUACUGACACUCAGAUGCGAAAGCGUGGGGAGCAAACAGGAUUAGAUACCCUGGUAGUCCACGCCGUAAACGAUGUCUACUUGGAGGUUGUGGCCUUGAGCCGUGGCUUUCGGAGCUAACGCGUUAAGUAGACCGCCUGGGGAGUACGGUCGCAAGAUUAAAACUCAAAUGAAUUGACGGGGGCCCGCACAAGCGGUGGAGCAUGUGGUUUAAUUCGAUGCAACGCGAAGAACCUUACCUACUCUUGACAUCCAGAGAACUUUCCAGAGAUGGAUUGGUGCCUUCGGGAACUCUGAGACAGGUGCUGCAUGGCUGUCGUCAGCUCGUGUUGUGAAAUGUUGGGUUAAGUCCCGCAACGAGCGCAACCCUUAUCCUUGUUUGCCAGCGAGUAAUGUCGGGAACUCCAGGGAGACUGCCGGUGAUAAACCGGAGGAAGGUGGGGACGACGUCAAGUCAUCAUGGCCCUUACGAGUAGGGCUACACACGUGCUACAAUGGCGCAUACAGAGGGCAGCCAACUUGCGAAAGUGAGCGAAUCCCAAAAAGUGCGUCGUAGUCCGGAUUGGAGUCUGCAACUCGACUCCAUGAAGUCGGAAUCGCUAGUAAUCGUGGAUCAGAAUGCCACGGUGAAUACGUUCCCGGGCCUUGUACACACCGCCCGUCACACCAUGGGAGUGGGCUGCAAAAGAAGUAGGUAGUUUAACCUUCGGG
rnacentral:rRNA from 1 species